CGUGGUGCUGCAGGGGCAGGCGCAUGAUGCGCUGGCGAUGGAUGUGUCGCGCAGUUCGGUGCUGCGCACCACGC
rnacentral:tRNA from 1 species